CCUACGGGCGGCAGCAGUAGGGAAUAUUGGUCAAUGGGCGGAAGCCUGAACCAGCCAUGCCGCGUGAUGGAUGACGGCCUUAGGGUUGUAAACAUCUUUUCUGCUAGAGGAAUAUAGUUCACGCGUGGACAGACGACUGUAUAGUAGGAAUAAGGAUCGGCUAACUCCGUGCCAGCAGCCGCGGUAAUACGGAGGAUUCGAGCGUUAUCCGGAUUUACUGGGUUUAAAGGGUGCGCAGGCGGACUCUUAAGUCAGCGGUGAAAUGUCUGGGCUUACCCUAGGAAUUGCCGUUGAUACUGGGAGUCUUGGAUAAGCAUAAGGACGGCGGAAUGCGUAGUGUAGCGGUGAAAUGCUUAGAUAUUACGUAGAAGACCAAUUGCGAAGGCAGCUGUCUGGGUCUUUAUCGACGCUCAAGCACGAAAGCGUGGGGAGCAAACAGGAUUAGAUACCCUAGUAGUC
rnacentral:rRNA from 1 species